AUUGAACGCUGGCGGCAGGCCUAACACAUGCAAGUCGAGCGGUAACAGGGGGUGCUUGCACCCCGCUGACGAGCGGCGGACGGGUGAGUAACGCGUAGGAAUCUACCCGGUAGUUGGGGAUAGCCCGGAGAAAUCCGGAUUAAUACCGAAUAAUCUCUACGGAGGAAAGGGGGCUUCGGCUCUCGCUACUGGAUGAGCCUGCGUCGGAUUAGCUAGUUGGUGGGGUAAAGGCCUACCAAGGCGACGAUCCGUAGCUGGUCUGAGAGGAUGAUCAGCCACACUGG
rnacentral:rRNA from 1 species